AACACAUGCAAGUCGAGCGGUAGCACGGUUGAGUAGCAAUACUUGAUGGGUGACGAGCGGCGGACGGGUGAGGAAGACGUAGGAACUUGCCCUUUAGAGGGGGAUAACCAAGGGAAACUUUGGCUAAUACCGCAUGAACUCGGAUGAGUAAAGGUGCCACAGUAAUGUGGUAUCGCUAAAGGAGAGGCCUGCGCCCGAUUAGCUAGUUGGUGAGGUAAGAGCUCACCAAGGCGAGGAUCGGUAACUGGUCUGAGAGGACGACCAGUCACACUGGGACUGAGACACGGCCCAGACUCCUACGGGAGGCAGCAGUGGGGAAUAUUGGACAAUGGGGAAACCCUGAUCCAGCGAUGCCGCGUGGGUGAAGAAGGCCUUCGGGUUGUAAAGCCCUUUAGGUUGGGACGAAGAGUGCUUGGUGAAUAGCCAAGCAUUUUGACGGUACCGACAGAAUAAGCACCGGCAAACUCUGUGCCAGCCGCCGCAGUAA
rnacentral:rRNA from 1 species